UAAUUUUUUAUAGCAUGUUAAAUUUGUCACUUUUUGAGGGUGAGCAAAAACGCUCCGUUUUUGUGUGUGUCCCUUUAAAUGCAAAUGAGCUGCUACUCUCAAGAAGAGGGCGGGGUUUCAAGAGCUAAGUGUUAGCAGCGCCGAUUCACAGACUCACUGAAAUGUCAGAAACUGUUCAGCCUUUUAUGUUCAAAACGGAGUCGGACAAUGAUGGAGAGACUCAAGAAGAAGAAGUGACAACAUGUAGAAUGCAACAGGACGUUUCUGAAUGGCAUCUCAGAGGCAGAGCUCUGUUGAUUGGCUGAAAGAUAAUCGCUCCGACAACCUCAGACACCGGCUCCCGGUUGCCCACAUAGUAUCGCACCAAAGCGGGGACACUGUCAAAUCCCUCCUUCUCAAACAGGUGAGGACAUAGUUUCCCGGGCUGGACAGCGAGUCUCGGAUCAAAAAGUCUCCAUCACGCUGGACCAGUUUCAAGCAUGUUGGAUCUUGGCCCAAACAUUAGGUUGUGGUGCUCAUGCAGGAUGAACAAGUUCAAACAUUGGAAUCAUUUUUAAGUGCAUUCAAGCAGUUUAGAAUGAUGGAAUACCUCUCCAAACUGAACGUUAGGUUCUAGAAGCCAUUUGGAAUAUUAAUGAAUUGGAAAGCUGUACCUGUCUAGGGAUGGCUCCAUGAUACCAGGCAUGGCUCCGUGGUUCCUCACUGCUUAGUUUCAGUUCUUCUUCUAGUUCUCUCCGAAGCUUCUCCGGUGGUCCAUCCAUGAUGUACUUGUCCCUUGAAAACUGCACAUAGAUGGGAACAGAAGAGUAUGUUAGAGCCAUGGUGGCCCUACAGUAGAUGUAUCUGACUGGCUGAUGGAUCCUGUGUUUCCUGUGCUGAUCUGUUUACUGUGACUCCCAAGUCCCUCCCUCUUCCUGUCUGUCUCCGCCUCCAGAAUCCGCAGGGCAUGCCGUACCUUUACCUGCACACGUACACGCCCCCACUGCUCUGAAUCAUCGUGGGCUUUUCAGACAAGAGAGUGCAUCUCCUGUGGAGGACUUUCAGGAGCAGUUUUCCAGGCAGACAGGGACAGUGGUGAUCCUGUGUGACAGGUCUGCACCAAGGGACCAGGGCUGUGUCUUUCAGUAUCAGCACGACAUCACUCUAAACUCCAGCGGAGUUUCAGUAACAGCAGGGGGUUAAUAUAAAAGAGCAUUCUCCCAGCAGGUAGGACUCUCUUACCCAGCUGGGACUAUCUUGACCCUGUGAAGGGAGCCCGGUUGAGCCUAAGGGAUCCCAGACGGCCAAAUUCACUCACUUUUCCCACUGGGGUUUAAAUAACAAGACUACUCUGUCUCUUAGUCACAAGCAAACAGCACUUAGUGUUAUUGCGGCUAGUUGGCUAACUAGAGGGGCUUUUGUUGAGUGGGCUAACGGGGGCUUUCUCUUGAUUAGCCUAUUUGUUAACAGCAUUUUGAGUUCUGUCAAUUUCAAGGAACGGAACAGCCACCUCAUAGAAAAAGCUCAUAGAGUAAAAAGAGGCAUUUGGAAACCAGUAAGAUUAGAAGACAGAAGAGAAUUCAUGUUUUCCAGACCAUUUCACCUGACUGAACAAGAGCUCGUAGUGUGUUUGUGAGAUUGCUCUUAAGGGGCAAACAAAGACAUUCAGGCUGGCUGGCACACCCUCGGACCAACACUGGAAUGUUCUCCCUGAGAGACUUCGCUCUUUGUCAAUUGUGAUGUGAAAUGUCAGUGCACAUAAAUGAACACUAGGGGGAGUUGUGCCUCUGUGAGUGUGCAGCGGUAAUAAACGCUGCCGUUAAACAGAUGGCUUCCCUCAUAGUUCUCCAUGGAGAUCCACACUAACGUUCAGUUCAAACAAAGUCAUGUAAAAAUCAAGCGAUCCUCCACCCCGAGGCCAUGAACGUGAUCAACAUUCAUCAACACCAGUCAAGUGAUUCCUGCAGACAAGAUUUUACAACAAUCUAGAGAUUCUCCUGAGAAAAGAUGCAUUUUCAUUGUUUCAUGGCUGAAAAAUCGACAUCCAUCCAGGGCACCUUUAAACACUUUCUACUUGAUAAGUAGGACAUCUUCAAACAUGGUGUCGGCUGGAGACUAUAUACCCAUGACUAUACUGUACAAACCUACCUUCUUAUGCGUGAUGGAGUUUACUUGCUCUUUGGGGACAAAAUGUUUAAAAAAUAAGGUGUCAUUUUUGUCGUUUUGCAGAUUGAACCAAGCCAGAGGAACAAAGAUAAUCAUGGCACACUCCGAGACAAGGCCAUGUUAUAAGGGUGCUGAGUGGGUUCUGUCAACAACAAGAACCACUUUGGUCAGCUUUAACAAUGCAGCAGUGCAUCCGGGGUCCAAAAUGAACACUUGCCGAGCACCAGCUGUGACUGAAAUUUGGCCCUGGUCACGUCCCUUACUGGUAUCCCUGCUGUGUGGAUCAUGUGAGAGUUACCAGGUGCACUGGAUUUAAAUGGCCAUGACGAAAGUUGAAAAAUUGGACUUUGGAUAGACAAGUUCAGCCCCCAUGGGAGUGAUUUAGGAUUUCCCAGACACACCCUCUCCAAUGGGUGGAACUUGAGGAGUCAUCUCACAACUGACUAGCCAGCCCCUACCCCCAGCAGCUCCCUCCUCUGUCAUGUGUCCAGUCCGCACAUUACUGGCCCCUCUUUGUUCAAGAGGACCAGAAUUUCCCGUCUCUUUGUCCUCGGAUUCCUCUUCAUUGUCAGUAGGAUGAUAACAAAUGACAUAGGCAGGGUUCCUUCCCGAAUGAUUCAGACAGAGAGAGAUGGGGUGCGGUGUGAUCUGACUAAAGGCUAAGGAGAGCAUGAUGAUCAUGCAGAUGAUUCAAAGGCACCUUAACAUGGAGGCAGCAUGCCUGACCGGACCACCUACAGCCCCCAGCAGAGCAGCUUCGACUGGAGGAGGAGGGAUGGAUUCACUGAUUUGACUAGUGGCUCAUAAUUCAAACAAGUCACAGAAGACACAAGUACAUACAAACGAGAGCACCUCAUACAUAGUGCUUUGUUUGUAACCAUCGAAAGUAUUCUGACCUCAAUGAUUACAAUAUUAGCUUUUUUUUUAAAAAGAAAGAAAGAAAGAAAGAAAGUAUGUCCUCACAACAGUGGAAUUUUUGCAAUUUUUUCCUUCAGCAUCAAAUAUGAGAUCGUUGUUAGUAUUAUGUUGCAUUUCUCAUAAAGAAACAAGCAAACUAGUAAGUAGUCUUAUUUACUCACCACAGCUAAUUUUACUAUUAUUUGGAGCUUGGUGAAUAAUUCUUAAUCAUGAGUGGAACUAUUUAAUGUAUUUAUGAGUACAGAGAUGGAAACACAUCUUUGACUUUGUGCUGCCAAACAUCUUCCAGAAUGCAUCAAGAUGAACACAAGACCAAGCCCAUAGUGAGGAAGUGUCCUUUAGAAGGGAUCUAGAGCUUAUCAAAUUAUUUUCUGCUUAUCUCUGUUUUUGUGAAAGGGAACUUGUUGCCUGUAUUCAUUCUACUGGUUCCGCUCAAGGCUGAGGGUAAGAACAGUUAUCAGUAGUAUGAAAUGUAAACUGUCUCGCCCCAUUCCACAACAUGUAAUCACGUUUUCAACAGGAAAAUAUUAAUUUCCUUUCAUGACUGAUUUUCUGAAUCAUAAAGACUGUACGUAAUGUGAUAAUUAUUUCUACACUGACUUUUACAAACUUUACCACUAGGCUUAGAUUUUAAGAAUGUUAUUAAAAGGGUAAUUGUGCAUGCAUAAUUCCAUUGUAUACCCUGGGAGAAUAACUAUAAAGCCUUAUCAAACUGCUACUGAAUAAAAACCAUGUUAAAA